UACGGAGGGGGCGAGCGUUGUUCGGAAUUACUGGGCGUAAAGCGCGCGUAGGCGGUCGUGUAAGUCGGAUGUGAAAGCCCUCAGCUCAACUGAGGAACUGCGUCCGAUACUGCUCGGCUUGAGUCCGGUAGGGGAUGGCAGAAUUCCCGGUGUAGCGGUGGAAUGCGUAGAUAUCGGGAGGAAUACCGAUGGCGAAGGCGGCCAUCUGGGCCGGAACUGACGCUGAGGCGCGAAAGCUAGGGGAGCAAACAGG
rnacentral:rRNA from 1 species